rnacentral:lncRNA from 1 species
AUGGAGACAUCUAAUUACAAGGAAAGGUGGAAAGAGCAAACUGCACAGAAAACCUGGAGCACCAGAAGCUGUAAGACACUUUGCAGCCCGGCUCUGCCUUCCCACAAAGCCUGCCCUGCGCUCUGCCACCCACCAAGGCAGGCGACUUACACGACACAAAUCCUUGAUGUCACUGAAGAGGUCUCUGGCAUAUUUCAGGCACCUAUUUGCUGUGUCCUAGAGGUAGAUGGAGAGAGACCCCUACUUUCUGUGAAUAAACCAAUUAGCCUGCCUCACAUGUGUACAUACUUUGUUCAUAAUUUUACUCGUGUGAAUUUAUGUGCAUGUAUGUGCAUUUACAAAGCCUGUGAGAGCCUGCUAAGGGACAGGGAGUCCUGUAAGAGAACAGCAGUCAGAAGAUAAACCUCUUCAGCUUAUCUCAGCAGGAUUCUGGUCCAUGCAGCUCCAUCCUCUGUACGACACAUGGCAGCUGCUGUGACAGUCAAUGAGCAGCCCCUCCUGUUUUCCCACUGCUCUUCAGGCAACACACAUCUUUUUUUUCAUCACCCUUAUAACCAUGGCACUAGCUUGGAGACAUCCUGGUCACAGAAGCAGCCAGGCUGUUCCCUCUCCAGGACACCAUCUCAGGCUCGGUGUCAGCUGCCAGAUGGGACAACCAAAACCCUCUGGGGCAGCAGGCACAUCUCUGUCGGGUUGGCUGGGAGACCUUAGCCCCAGGAGACACUGGGGGUGUUUGUGACUGUGAGCAGGAAUGCAGCCGAAGUGCCAGAUUUGCAGCUUAGCAGUAGGCUCAGGGACAAACAUUUUGGACUACAAAAUUAAUCUUCGCAAAUUGCCGGGGAGAAAGACGUGAAAGAGCCCCAUCUACCUGCUGCUUUUUUUAUCAGGGGUGUGAGUUUCACAAACUAGCAAUGAUUUGCAACCAUAACCUGGGGGGAAUAUUUACUGGAGUUAGAGCCUUCCAUAAAGAUUUUAGAUUAAGAGACAUGGAUAUUUGCAAAUGCCAUCUAAUUUCAAAAGCUGCCAAAACAUCAGCAGAUGCAUUAGUUAGGAAACUAAGUUUUCAAGCAACUGCCCAGCAUCUCCAAC